rnacentral:rRNA from 1 species
UGGGGAAUUUUGGACAAUGGGCGAAAGCCUGAUCCAGCAAUGCCGCGUGUGUGAAGAAGGCCUUCGGGUUGUAAAGCACUUUUGUCCGGGAAAGAAAUCCUUGGCUCUAAUACAGUCGGGGGAUGACGGUACCGGAAGAAUAAGCACCGGCUAACUACGUGCCAGCAGCCGCGGUAAUACGUAGGGUGCAAGCGUUAAUCGGAAUUACUGGGCGUAAAGCGUGCGCAGGCGGUUUGCUAAGACCGAUGUGAAAUCCCCGGGCUCAACCUGGGAACUGCAUUGGUGACUGGCAGGCUAGAGUAUGGCAGGAGGGGGGUUAGAAUUCCACGUGUAGCAGUGAAAUGCGUAGAGAUGUGGAGGAAUACCGAUGGCGAAGGCAGCCCCCUGGGCCAAUACUGACGCUCAUGCACGAAAGCGUGGGGAGCAAACAGGAUUAGAUACCCUGGUAGUCCACGCCCUAAACGAUGUCAACUAGUUGUUGGGGAUUCAUUUCCUUAGUAACGUAGCUAACGCGUGAAGUUGACCGCCUGGGGAGUACGGUCGCAAGAUUAAAACUU